rnacentral:rRNA from 1 species
AUUGAACGCUGGCGGAAUGCUUUACACAUGCAAGUCGAACGGCAGCACGGGGGCAACCCUGGUGGCGAGUGGCGAACGGGUGAGUAAUACAUCGGAACGUGCCCGGUCGUGGGGGAUAACGUAGCGAAAGUUACGCUAAUACCGCAUACGAUCUGAGGAUGAAAGCGGGGGACCUUCGGGCCUCGCGCGAUCGGAGCGGCCGAUGUCAGAUUAGGUAGUUGGUGGGGUAAAGGCCUACCAAGCCGACGAUCUGUAGCUGGUCUGAGAGGACGACCAGCCACACUAGGACUGAGACACGGCCCAGACUCCUACGGGAGGCAGCAGUGGGGAAUUUUGGACAAUGGGCGCAAGCCUGAUCCAGCCAUUCCGCGUGCAGGACGAAGGCCUUCGGGUUGUAAACUGCUUUUGUAUGGAACGAAAAGGCUCUGGCUAAUACCUGGGGCUCAUGACGGUACCGUAAGAAUAAGCACCGGCUAACUACGUG